rnacentral:misc_RNA from 1 species
GUGAAUCAUCGAAUUUUUGAACACAAAUUGCACUCUCCGGUUUUCCGGGAGAGUAUGCCUGUUUUAGGGUCAGCCUAAAAAAAAUCGACAUAUUUGCUGUUUCGCGGUGACAUUCGUCGGAAAUUGGUUCAUUUUAAACCUUGGGUUUUUAAGCGGUUUAAAAUUUUCUUUACGAUUCCACAAACGUUUCUAAGAUUUUAUUUCUUACCCUUUUAAGUAACCGUUCUUUAUUAGAC